AUACCCUGGUAGUCCACGCUGUAAACGAUGUCGACUUGGAGGUUGUUCCCUUGAGGAGUGGCUUCCGGAGCUAACGCGUUAAGUCGACCGCCUGGGGAGUACGGCCGCAAGGUUAAAACUCAAAUGAAUUGACGGGGGCCCGCACAAGCGGUGGAGCAUGUGGUUUAAUUCGAUGCAACGCGAAGAACCUUACCUACUCUUGACAUCCAGAGAACUUAGCAGAGAUGCUUUGGUGCCUUCGGGAACUCUGAGACAGGUGCUGCAUGGCUGUCGUCAGCUCGUGUUGUGAAAUGUUGGGUUAAGUCCCGCAACGAGCGCAACCCUUAUCCUUUGUUGCCAGCGGUUCGGCCGGGAACUCAAAGGAGACUGCCAGUGAUAAACUGGAGGAAGGUGGGGAUGACGUCAAGUCAUCAUGGCCCUUACGAGUAGGGCUACACACGUGCUACAAUGGCAUAUACAAAGAGAAGCGACCUCGCGAGAGCAAGCGGACCUCAUAAAGUAUGUCGUAGUCCGGAUUGGAGUCUGCAACUCGACUCCAUGAAGUCGGAAUCGCUAGUAAUCGUGGAUCAGAAUGCCACGGUGAAUACGUUCCCGGGCCUUGUACACACCGCCCGUCACACCAUGGGAGUGGGUUGCAAAAGAAGUAGGUAGCUUAACCUU
rnacentral:rRNA from 1 species